rnacentral:rRNA from 1 species
GAUGAACGCUGGCGGCGUGCCUAAUACAUGCAAGUCGAGCGAACAGACGAGGAGCUUGCUCCUCUUACGUUAGCGGCGGACGGGUGAGUAACACGUGGAUAACCUACCUAUAAGACUGGGAUAACUUCGGGAAACCGGAGCUAAUACCGGAUAAUAUAUUGAACCGCAUGGUUCAAUAGUGAAAGACGGUUUUGCUGUCACUUAUAGAUGGAUCCGCGCCGAAUUAGCUAGUUGGUAAGGUAACGGCUUACCAAGGCAACGAUGCGUAGCCGACCUGAGAGGGUGAUCGGCCACACUGGAACUGAGACACGGUCCAGACUCCUACGGGAGGCAGCAGUAGGGAAUCUUCGGCAAUGGGCGAAAGCCUGACGGAGCAACGCCGCGUGAGUGAUGAAGGUCUUCGGAUCGUAAAACUCCGUUAUUAGGGAAGAACAAAUGUGUAAGUAAAUAUGCACGUCUUGACGGUACCUAAUCAGAAAGCCACGGCUAACUACGUG